GACGAACGCUGGCGGCGUGCUUAACACAUGCAAGUCGAACGGAAAGGCACUGCUUUUGUGGGGUGCUCGAGUGGCGAACGGGUGAGUAACACGUGAGUAACCUGCCCUUGACUUUGGGAUAACUUCAGGAAACUGGGGCUAAUACCGGAUAGGAGCUCCUGCUGCAUGGUGGGGGUUGGAAAGUUUCGGCGGUUGGGGAUGGACUCGCGGCUUAUCAGCUUGUUGGUGGGGUAGUGGCUUACCAAGGCUUUGACGGGUAGCCGGCCUGAGAGGGUGACCGGCCACAUUGGUACUGAGAUACGGCCCAGACUCCUACGGGAGGCAGCAGUGGGGAAUAUUGCACAAUGGGCGGAAGCCUGAUGCAGCAACGCCGCGUGCGGGAUGACGGCCUUCGGGUUGUAAACCGCUUUCGCCUGUGACGAAGCGUGAGUGACGGUAAUGGGUAAAGAAGCACCGGCUAACUACGUG
rnacentral:rRNA from 1 species